AGCAUUAUACGGCGAAACUGCGAAUGGCUCAUUAAAUCAGUUAUCGUUUAUUUGAUAGUACCUUUCCUACUUGGAUAACCGUGGUAAUUCUAGAGCUAAUACAUGCUAAAAAUCCCGACUUCGGAAGGGAUGUAUUUAUUAGAUACAGAACCAAUGCCCUCCGGGGCUCUCUGGUGAAUCAUGAUAACUCCGCGGAUCGCACGGCCUUGCGCCGGCGAUGGUUCAUUCAAAUUUCUGCCCUAUCAACUUUCGACGGCUGGGUCUUGGCCAGCCGUGGUGACAACGGGUAACGGAGGGUUAGGGCUCGACCCCGGAGAAGGAGCCUGAGAGACGGCUACUACAUCCAAGGAAGGCAGCAGGCGCGCAAAUUACCCAAUCCCGACUCGGGGAGGUAGUGACGAUAAAUACUGAUCCAGGGCUCUUUUGGGUCUUGGAAUUGGAAUGAGUACAAUUUAAAUCCCUUAACGAGGAACAAUUGGAGGGCAAGUCUGGUGCCAGCAGCCGCGGUAAUUCCAGCUCCAAUAGCGUAUAUUAAAGUUGUUGAGGUUAAAAAGCUCGUAGUUGAACCUUGGGCCUGGCUGGCCGGUCCGCCUCACCGCGUGCACUGGUCCGGCCGGGCCUUUCCCUCUGGGGAACCGCAUGCCCUUCGCUGGGCGUGUCGGGGAACCAGGACUUUUACUCUGAACAAAUCAGAUCGCUCAAAGAAGGCUCUCGCUCGAAUGCAUUAGCAUGGAAUAAUGGAAUAGGACGUGUGGUUCUAUUUUGUUGGUUUCUAGGACCGCCGUAAUGAUUAAUAGGGACAGUCGGGGGCAUCAGUAUUCAAUUGUCAGAGGUGAAAUUCUUGGAUCUAUUGAAGACUAACUACUGCGAAAGCAUUUGCCAAGGAUGUUUUCAUUAAUCAGGAACGAAAGUUAGGGGAUCGAAGACGAUCAGAUACCGUCGUAGUCUUAACCAUAAACUAUGCCGAUUAGGGAUCGGACGAUGUUAUUUUUUGACUCGUUCGGCACCUUACGAUAAAUCAAAAUG
rnacentral:rRNA from 1 species